rnacentral:rRNA from 1 species
UAUUGGUCAAUGGGCGAGAGCCUGAACCAGCCAAGUCGCGUGAGGGAAGACGCCCCUACGGGUUGUAAACCUCUUUUGCCGGGGAGCAAUGGCCGACACGCGUGUCGGCAGGGAGAGUACCCGGUGAAAAAGCAUCGGCUAACUCCGUGCCAGCAGCCGCGGUAAUACGGAGGAUGCGAGCGUUAUCCGGAUUCAUUGGGUUUAAAGGGUGCGCAGGCGGAGCGGCAAGCCGGCGGUAAAAUCGUGGGGCCCAACCCCAUCCCGCCGUCGGAACUGGCGCCCUUGAGUGGCCGAGAGGUAGGCGGAAUGCGUGGUGUAGCGGUGAAAUGCAUAGAUAUCACGCAGAACGCCGAUUGCGAAGGCAGCCUACUGGCGGCCCACUGACGCUCAGGCACGAAAGCGUGGGGAUCAAACAGG